CCAGAAUACCCACAGGAUGAACCAUCUCCGUAUCACCGAAAUAUCAUCAACAUUAGGUUACCGAGAACAGUGCAUGACCUUGACAUGGACAAGUAGGAGACGUGGAGGAGGCGGCUUGGGCUCUGUUAGGACAAGAAUGUGGCUGCUGGUAGCAGGAGCAAAGGCAGUCUAAAAGUGUAUACAUAUUGAAUUGGUCAAAGAAGGACAGAUGCUGAUUUCUCUCUUUUUCUUCCUGGAGGAGAAAAGGCAGUCUAGAAGUGUAUAUAUAUUGUAUUGGUCAAAGAAAAAUUGCUGACUUGCUGCCUACUCCUUGUUUGAAU